ACUUUUCUAGUAUAAUUUAGUACUCGUGACUUCCAAUCACCUAGUUCUGGUCUUAUUCCAGAGAAAAGUA
rnacentral:tRNA from 1 species